CUGGUUGGCGACGACUUCAACAACAACGCCGGUUACAACGAAGUCGGAGAGUUGAAUAACAUCAUCAUCCUGUAUCCCCAGGCUCUACCGAUAGAUAAAUUUAACCCGACAGGCUGCUGGGAUUGGUGGGGAUACACCGGCUUGGCGUACAUGACACAGGAAGGAAGACAGAUAACGGUGCUUCACAAGAUCUUACAGAGAGUGAUGGAGAAGGAGCGGCGGCCGCCGUCCCGCACUGCUGUAGACGUAGAGGUGGAGGUAGAGGAGAGAAGACGCCAAUUCUCCCGUCAUGUGCCUGACGAAUUGUGAUUCACUGUUCCGAUGAUGCAACUGUAAUAAACAGAUGGGUUCUCACAUAUAGAGGAAGGAAGAGAGAGUCCGUAAGGGGGUGCCGCUGCGAUCAUGCGGGGGGGGGGAACAGGCCGUCAUGUGGAGGAAGGGGAGGCCGGGAGAUGGACGGGGCAGUCACUUGAUGCAGAUGAGGGAGGUAUCCAAAGUGGCCAAUCUUAACAGUACAAAAACUGGUAUAAAAACACCAAAAAGACAUAGAAGUAAAAAUGUUAGUACAAUUUUCCCCAGUUAAAUAUCUCACACUAGAUCUGACCUUAAUUAUUUGGUGUCAAGGAUUGGCUUACCUGAUGCGCCACCUGCCAGCAACUAGCGCCGCCUAUGGCUUCAGUGCGUUUAUUGACACGUACGUCAUUAGACCGUCCUUGUUCAUUUAGGUAAUGAUCUAUUCAUGCAAUACAAAAUCAAUGAUGAGUACCUCAUUUAAAUAUGCGCCACUAGACAACUGCACGUUGAUCAUAUUUAUUACAAUAUCUUGUCGCUUUAGGACAUGAAUUGUGGGUUUUGCGGGGUGUUGUUGGAUGAAUCCGUUUGCUGCAUGAUUCCAUGACGGGUAGGUUACGCCGGUGAAUACGGUUAAUUUAACUUUGAUAACCAUUGAUGUGGUGGCAGCAAUAAUCGCAGGUGCGAGGAAGUGUACACAUCUCAUUGUAGCAGUCAGCAUGCAUUUAUUUAAAUAAAGCAGAAUGUCUGAUUUGAACAA